AUACGUAGGGUGCGAGCGUUGUCCGGAUUUACUGGGUGUAAAGGGCGUGUAGGCGGAGAUGCAAGUCAGGAGUGAAAUCUAGGGGCUCAACCCCUAAACUGCUUUUGAAACUGUAUCCCUUGAGUAUCGGAGAGGCAGGCGGAAUUUCUAGUGUAGCGGUGAAACGCGUAGAUAUUUGGAGGAACACCAGAUGCGAAGGCGGCCUGCUGGACGAAAACUGACGCUUAGGCGCGAAAGCGUGGGGAGCAAACAGGAUUUGAUACCCUGGUAGUCCACGCUGUAAACGAUGAAUACUAGUUGUGUGGGGACUGACCCCCUCCGUGCCGCAGUUAACACAAUAAGUAUUCCACCUGGGGAGUACGAUCGCAAGAUUGAAACUCAAAGGAAUUGACGGGG
rnacentral:rRNA from 1 species